CGAUGGAGGGUUUUGAGCAAGGAGUGAUUUGGUUUGACUCAGGCUACAAAAGGAUCUUUCUGACUGCCACACUGAGGAUGUUCUGGAAGAGGCAAAAGUGGAGGCAGGGCUGUUACAAUGGUCGGAGUAAGGAAUGAUGGUGGCUUGGAACAGGGUGUCGGUGAUAGAGAGCACUGCGCAUGUGCAAGACGGAAAUCCUUGUUUCUGCGAUGAUCCAGGAAGCGGAAUCGUCAGUCUCUGGAAGAGAAAUAUUGCCACCGGACCCCUUAACGAAGUGAGAAGUCCUUCAAUAAGGAAAAUCUGGCUUCCAGCACCGCAGUUUUGGCUUUUCCUCCAGCAUGCAGAUGUCCCAGGGCAGGGAUCAAAUCUGCAGCACAGCACCACAGCAGAGACCUGGGCCACAG